rnacentral:tRNA from 1 species
GACAAUGUGGCUCAGUGGAAAGAGCACUGGCUUAGAAGUCAGAGGUCAUGGGGUUCUAAUCCCGGCUCUGCCA